GCCGAGCAAUCCAUUUCAACACAACCGCAGCUGCAUGAAACAAGACGAUGAGCUACCAUGGAACCCUCGAUAACUGAUAUGCUAUCGUUAUCUAGUUACGCUAGUAUCUGGCUACUAUUCAACUUAAGCAAACGCAGGAUUCACAUUUCAAGAUAAGUCUAAACAUAAUUAUUUGUGCAGCUUAAUUUGACUCUUAGCUCAUAGCUAGCUGGCCAUAUUAUUGUACUUGUAGCUAGCAAGCUAACGAAGAGAGGAAGAGGCGAAGCGAGAUGUUUCACUCUCACCAAAAUCUGUACACAAUAAGGCCAGAUAUAUGGGAAAAAUGUGAAGAUCUAUAGGUGCGUUCGUAAAUUCACUCUGGCUAUCUACUCCGGUUUCAGGAGCACUCGCUUGAGCGCAGAAUAACUAUGACUGAUUAAUUUACGAACUGCUCAACACCCGUUGAAUAUGGCCAGUGUCAAUAAACGUCGGCAAAAAAAAACGUUAUUACCAGCAGCACAUUUACAGUCACUAGAUUACAGGAAAAUAGCCUAACCAGCUCAGCUGGGGCGAGUAAAAUGGUCAGAGUGAGUGUUCUCUCAGUUGUGUCGGGAAGUAGCUAGCCAGUUAGCUUGGGUGCUUGACUGCCGUUGAGGCCAGAACGCUUGGAUCAACCCUACUCCUCGGCCAGAGCGUCCAGUGUUUCUCUGAAUUUACGAACGGACAAUCUGACAAUACUCUGAAUUUACGAACGCCCAGAAUUUGCUCUCUGGCACUCCAGAUUUAAUUUACAAACACACCCCUAAACCACAGAUAGAACAAUGAGAGAUAUUUCACCGGAUGUAUACAUGUGAAGCAUCCGCUUGGCUUUACCACUCACUACCAAAUAAGGUAGUGAAAGGCAGCCCAGUGGGAGAAGAUGGAUUUUGCCCGACAUUCAGCAGAUUUUCUCAUGGAUUAAACUUUUGAUAUCAAUACAGUUUUCUGUUACUAAAACUAUAAUAUGUUAUGAACAGAGUGGACAAACUUUUGUAUACUUUACUAUUUACCCAUAAAAAAAAAAAUAUCGCGUUGUUUAGAAGGCGUGCAAAGUCAAAUUUAGUAAUUGCACACGCGCACUUCACAUAGUAGGCGUUCUCCAACGGAAAUAUUUAUUUUUAUUUCAUUUUUUAUUUCACCUUUAUUUAACCAGGUAGGCUAGUUGAGAACAAGUUCUCAUUUGCAACUGCGACCCUAAAGCAUAGCAGUGUGAACAGACAACACAGAGUUACACAUGGAGUAAACAAUUAACCCUAUAUAGAUGCAUGCUAGAACGGGCCAAUAGGAUCUCGCUACCUCGUGCUUGGCUCUGCCCACCUCCUUGCUUGUUGUGCCCACUAUGACUAAUUUGUUCCCAUUGGAAAGGACAGGCUGUGGUCUAUCUUGGAUGAAACAUAUCUGCCUAAACCAAAAUUGUCAGAACGGGCCAAUAGGAUCUCGCUACCUCGUGCUUGGCUCUGCCCACCUCCUUGCUUGUUGUGCCCACUAUGACUAAUUUGUUCCCAUUGGAAAGGACAGGCUGUGGUCUAUAUUGGAUUAGUAUGAAACAUAUCUGCCUAAACCAAAAUUGUGUAUAACUAACCCAAGCUUGUAGCCUGCCUUCCGCUUUGGGAUGACUCCCAUUUUUAGGGAGGAGACAUGAGCAUCUCAUUAUAUACGUAUCUCUGGCUAACGUUAGCGAUCUUGUGCAUACCGCGUUUAAGGCUAGAUUAGAUAUAUGUAUUCAUAUUGUUUUUGCAAACGUUCUAAACAAGCAGGCCAUACAAGUGAAAUAAUGUUCAGCAACUUAACUUCUACUAUAGUCCUCACCCGGGCAUUUACGAAAGUGUCAAAAGUACCAAAUGUGUCUGACACAUGGUUAUCUGAAACACAAAAGUUCUAGCUUGCAAAAUAUGUCUCACAGGCAAUGCAGCUCCGAGGGAGACUACAAGUGAAGACUAUCAUCUGGGAUGCACUAGCGCGUCUUUGUAGAAUUAUUAGGCGCAUAUUGAAGAUGUUAAAAGUAUGGAAGGCCAAGAGUUUCAAGAGUGUCCUAUGGGCAUUUUUACACGUGUUCAUUACACCUGUUCAGUGUGCAUUUACAGGUGAUUAGAAUGUUUGAAUAUUGUACUUCCACCAUUGCACACUUUCUGGGCGCCUGUGUAGUAACGGGUACAUUUCAUACGUCUGAAAUUACCACAUUGUAGCCUGUCCCACCUCAAUUUCAGUGAGUUUGACUUUGUUUGACUUCUGGCCUGUUGCGACGAAUCGCUUACUCAGGGAUGAAGGAGAUGUUUCUAAAUAUAGAUCAAAUUGUUAAAAAUAUGUAUUUUUCCAAAUAGCAUUACAACUACAAAGCUGACGCUGGCUAGCUUAUUUUCAUUGAAAUAGCAUGGCUAGUUAGCUAACUAGCAAUAGUCUUCUGUCUAGCCUGUAACUAAUGGUUGUUACGUUGUGGGACAGAGCAAUAGUUCUUUUGUACUUGUCAUUUGGCUGAGACCAACAUUAGUUUAGAAAAUAAUUGUUUACUUUGUGUAUAUUUGUUGUGUAAUUGGUUGGCUUUGCUAAGUAUCAAGCUGAGAUUUAUUUGCUCAAGUUAGCUAACUUAGCUAUUAGCUAAUGUUUCAGGAGAACAUGCUAGCUCCCUGCAGAAUCUAGACAAUAGAGAAUGGGGAAUAAGAUCUGGCUGUUGCCGUGUCCAGACAAGGUGAGAGAGAACUGCUACAGAUAUAAAAAGCCACAACAUGAUGAUCAUGUAGUCAAACAUCUGAAGUCUAGCGAGGAGGAGAAAAGCCUGCUUUGGAUCAGCUGUCACGUUCGUCAUAUGAAUCGGACCAAGGUGCAGCGUGGAAUCUCCGAAUGCUAUGUUGAAUGAGCACCAUGGAUGAAGGAAGGGGAGGAAAACAGACAGCUUUCUUCUACCACAUCUUCACCAAGUCAUACAAUGUUUGCUUCAUGAACAAUUCUUACAUCUGAAAUAAAUACAGAAUCAUUUUAGUUUAUUCUGUUCCUAAUGCUGGAUGUGAGUAAUUUAGCAGGUCUAUAGUAUGUAUUGUUUUGAAACGUUUAUUUAAUAUCUAUUCAGUCAACUAAUUUAUUUAAUUUAUCUAAAAGAAUGUAUGUUUUGUACUGUUACUUUUUACAUGCUGAAACAGUCUCAUUAGUUUUGAGCUAGGCUAUGAUUGGGGAAAUGUCUACUGUAAAUGUUUAUUUCCCUUAAUGAGAACUUGGACAAUGUCAGGGAAUAAGUAGGAUAAAUGGACAUCCUAUCAAUGACAAAAUAAACUGCAGAGGUAGCCUUAAAAGAUAACAUUAGAUCUGUGCAUGUUAUUACUGGACAGACGGCUAGCCAGAGCAGUGACCACAUUUUCACAUGGAUGUAUAUACAAAAUGCCACAUGUAAAGUGUUGGUCUCAUGCGCUGAAAUAAAAUAUCCCAGACAUUUUCCAUAGG